CUAUACCUCUAAAGAUGCAGUAGGAAGGAAUGAAGCUACUUAAAGAAGAAAAGCAUCGAAGAAGUUUAAGGCUCAGUAGGACCAGGCAUAAUUGGGCCAUGUAGUCUUUGCUCUAUUCCCGUUACACGACAAUGAGCAAAGAGGGGCAGCUGUAAUAAGGCCCAAUCGGCCUGGGCUUAAACACAAAAUACAUGACCCAUUAAAGAAUAAGCCCAAACAAAACAACCCUGGCCCAAAGCAAAAACAAAAACAAAAAAAAAGAGAACCUAGCCCUAAGGAGCGCCGCAGCAAGCCCCGAAUGCACCCAGCAGCCUCCCC
rnacentral:lncRNA from 1 species